rnacentral:rRNA from 1 species
UGGGGAAUAUUGGACGAUGGGGGCAACCCUGAUCCAGCCAUGCCGCGUGUGUGAAGAAGGCCUUUUGGUUGUAAAGCACUUUAAAGCAGGGAGGAGAGGGCUAAAUGGUUAAUACCCAUUAGAUUAGACGUUACCUGCAGAAUAAGCACCGGCUAACUCUGUGCCAGCAGCCGCGGUAAUACAGAGGGUGCGAGCGUUAAUCGGAAUUACUGGGCGUAAAGCGAGUGUAGGUGGCUCAUUAAGUCACAUGUGAAAUCCCCGGGCUUAACCUGGGAACUGCAUGUGAUACUGGUGGUGCUAGAAUAUGUGAGAGGGGAAGUAGAAUUCCCAGGUGUAGCGGGUGAAAUGCGUAGAGAUCUGGAGGAAUACCGAUGGCGAAGGCAGCUUCCUGGCAUAAUAUUGACACUGAGAUUCGAAAGCGUGGGUAGCAAACAGGAUUAGAUACCCUGGUAGUCCACGCCGUAAAACGAUGUCUACUAGCCGUGGGGUCCUUGAGACUUUAGUGGCGCAGUUAACGCGAUAAGUAGACCGCCUGGGGAG